rnacentral:rRNA from 1 species
AGUGCACAUGGUGGAUGCCUUGGCAGUCAGAGGCGAAGAAAGACGUGACAGCCUGCGAAAAGCGUCGGGGAGGCGGCAAUAUCCUGUGAUCCGGCGAUAUCUGAAUGGGGAAACCCACCUAUCAUAAGGUAGGUAUCGUAUUUAUACGAGGCGAACCGGGAGAAGUGAAACAUCUCAGUACCCCGAGGAAAAGACAUCAAUAGAGAUUCCCUUAGUAGCGGCGAGCGAACGGGGAGGAGCCGACUGAAUAUAAUGUAGAAGAACAGUUUGGGAAGACUGACCGUAGAUGGUGAUAGUCCAGUAUUUUAAACAUUAUAUGAAGCAUAUUAAGUAGGGCGGGACACGAGAAAUCCUGUUUGAAGAUGGGGGGACCAUCCUCCAAGGCUAAAUACUCCUGACUGACCGAUAGUGAACCAGUACCGUGAGGGAAAGGCGAAAAGAACCCCUGUGAGGGGAGUGAAAUAGAACCUGAAACCGUGUGCAUACAAGCAGUCGGAGCCCACUUGUUGGGUGACGGCGUACCUUUUGUAUAAUGGGUCAGCGACUUAUAUUCUGUAGCAAGGUUAACCGAAUAGGGGAGCCGUAGGGAAACCGAGUCUUAAUAGGGCGGUAUAGUUGCAGGGUAUAGACCCGAAACCGAGUGAUCUAUCCAUGAGCAGGUUGAAAGUGACGUAACAGUUACCGGAGGACCGAACCCACUGUCGUUGAAAAGCCAGGGGAUGACUUGUGGAUAGGGGUGAAAGGCUAAUCAAACUCGGUGAUAGCUGGUUCUCCCCGAAAGCUAUUUAGGUAGCGCCUCGGACGAACACCAUUGGGGGUAGAGCACUGUUUCGGCUAGGGGGUCAUCCCGACUUACCAAACCGAUGCAAACUCCGAAUACCGAUGAGUGAUAUCCGGGAGACAGACAGCGGGUGCUAACGUCCGUUGUCAAGAGGGAAACAACCCAGACCGCCAGCUAAGGCCCCAAAUUCCUAGUUAAGUGGGAAACGAUGUGGGAAGGCACAGACAGCUAGGAGGUUGGCUUAGAAGCAGCCACCCUUUAAAGAAAGCGUAAUAGCUCACUAGUCGAGUCGGCCUGCGCGGAAGAUGUAACGGGGCUCAAACUAGGAGCCGAAGCUGCGGAUUUAAUUGUUUCAAUUAAGUGGUAGGGGAGCGUUGUGUAAGCCGAUGAAGGUAUAUUGUAAGGUAUGCUGGAGGUAUCACAAGAGCGAAUGCUGACGUGAGUAACGACAAAACGGGUGAAAAGCCCGUUCGCCGGAAGACCAAGGGUUCCAGUCCAACGUUAAUCGGGGCUGGGUGAGUCGACCCCUAAGGCGAGGCCGAAAGGCGUAGUCGAUGGGAAAUCGGUUAAUAUUCCGAUACUUGUUUAUGAUGCGAUGGAGGGACGGAGAAGGUUAUGCCAGCUUGGCGAUGGUUGUCCAAGUGGAAGGAUGUAGGUAGGUUUAGUAGGCAAAUCCGCUAGACUAUUACUGAGAUCUGAUAGCAAGCUGUACAUGUACAGCGAAGUGGCAAAUACCCUGCUUCCAGGAAAAGCUUCUAAGCGAUAGUCAUAAACAAAUCGUACCCGAAACCGACACAGGUGGUCAGGUAGAGAAUACUAAGGCGCUUGAGAGAACUCUGCUGAAGGAACUAGGCAAAAUGGUACCGUAACUUCGGGAGAAGGUACGCUGCUGAUGGUGAUGGAACUUGCUUCCUGAGCUGUUGGCAGUCGCAGAUACCAGGCCGCUGCAACUGUUUAUUAAAAACACAGCACUCUGCAAACACGAAAGUGGACGUAUAGGGUGUGAUGCCUGCCCGGUGCUGGAAGGUUAAUUGAUGGGGUUAGCGUAAGCGAAGCUCUUGAUCGAAGCCCCAGUAAACGGCGGCCGUAACUAUAACGGUCCUAAGGUAGCGAAAUUCCUUGUCGGGUAAGUUCCGACCUGCACGAAUGGCAUAAUGAUGGCGGCGCUGUCUCCAGCAGAGACUCAGUGAAAUCGAAAUCGCAGUGAAGAUGCUGUGUACCCGCGGCUAGACGGAAAGACCCCGUGAACCUUUACUACAGCUUUACAUUGAACUUUGACCUAACUUGUGUAGGAUAGGUGGGAGGCUUUGAAGUAGGGACGCCAGUCCUUAUGGAGCCAACCUUGAAAUACCACCCUGGUUAUGUUGGGGUUCUAACUUGAGAUUAACAAAUCUAAGGACAAUGUAUGGUGGGUAGUUUGACUGGGGCGGUCUCCUCCUAAAGAGUAACGGAGGAGUACGAAGGUGCGCUCAGAACGGUCGGAAAUCGUUCGAAGAGUAUAAAGGCAAAAGCGCGCUUAACUGCGAGACCCACAAGUCGAGCAGGUACGAAAGUAGGUCUUAGUGAUCCGGUGGUUCUGUAUGGAAGGGCCAUCGCUCAACGGAUAAAAGGUACUCUGGGGAUAACAGGCUGAUACCGCCCAAGAGUUCAUAUCGACGGCGGUGUUUGGCACCUCGAUGUCGGCUCAUCUCAUCCUGGGGCUGAAGCAGGUCCCAAGGGUAUGGCUGUUCGCCAUUUAAAGAGGUACGCGAGCUGGGUUUAGAACGUCGUGAGACAGUUCGGUCCCUAUCUACCGUGGGCGUUGGAAAUUUGAGAGGAUCUGCUCCUAGUACGAGAGGACCAGAGUGGACGAACCUCUGGUGUUUCGGUUGUGACGCCAGUCGCAUUGCCGAGUAGCUAUGUUCGGAUGGGAUAACCGCUGAAAGCAUCUAAGCGGGAAGCCCACCUUAAGAUUAGAUUUCCCUAAAGAGCCGUUGUAGACGACGACGUUGAUAGGUUGGGUGUGGAAGCACAGUGAUGUGUGUAGCUAACCAAUACUAAUUGCUCGUUUGGCUUGACU